GGGGCUGACUGGAUUUGACAGCAGGAUGAGGUGCCAGUGUAAGCACGCAGAGAGUUGGCGGCCGCUCUCUUUAAUCUCUGACUUCCGACAAUUUAAUUGGCGAAAACACUUACGCUCUCGCUGCCUAACCGAAGCACAGUAGGUUACUGGCCUAAUCUCGGCACCAGGUGCUGAGACGAGACAUCGCUCAGAAGCUGUUGUUCCGAAGCGUCUGGCAAAGCGGUGCAGGAAAAUCGGAAAUAGUCCGGGGAGACGUCUCUAUCCCCGAAUGAAGCUCUUAGAGAAUAAGGCAGUGGUUGGUGGUCCGGGUCUUGCCAGUGCACGAAAAUGAAGUCCGGAAUAAGCGUGUAGAAAGCCUGGGAUGUCCCUGUUUGGACGAGGGUUCAAUCCCCUCCAGCUCCACU
rnacentral:tmRNA from 1 species